CCCGACCCCCGCGGAGGCGGGCACGGCGCUGCCGAGAGAUUUGUUGGAAGGAACACAGAGGAGUGUUCUACACAAUGUUGUCAUUAAACCUCAGUAAUACUCACUGAGUAAAUUCAAAGUCCUUUUGAAAAAGACCUGCAUGUUAAUUCUCACUAUUUUGAAAAUCUACUGCCAACUUUGGUGAAGGGGACUUAAGAAAGGAGAACUUAAUCAAGGUGAUCUGAAAGCUAGUGAUGAUGAAAUUAAAACUUUUAACUCAUCAUGAAGACUGUGAGUACAUUCUGAUAGUUGCAGAAGUUAUGGUCCUGUUUUCCUACCCCAGAGAAGGAAGCAUAAACAUGAGAAAAAAAGCGUUUAAAUGGCAGAACUUCAAGCUGUGCAUAGUACAUCUUAAAGAGAGCCUGCAGAAAAAGUGUGAAAAGAAGUGCCACAUAAAAUGAAGAGGGAAGGAGAAUUUUUGAAAGGCAUAAAUGAAAAAUAAUAAAUUUAUUUCCACAAGUUUUCUUCUAAUGAUGUAUUUAAAGGUAUUGUAUCUGUUAAAUUACCACAGAGCAAAAAGAGAUUUAAUGAAGGGAACAAUUAUUACAGAGGUUCCUUUCCCUUUAUCUUGAGAAAAGCUGUAUAAUUAUUGAUUUUGAGCCUAUUCUUUGAAAUGUAAAAAGAUAAGAGGUCUCUAGGAAUUGAAAUAACAGAAAAGAAAAUCUGGAAACAAAUAGAUAAAUUAAGAUAAUAUGUUUCAAACUCAGUUGGUGUAUCUCCUGGAGUUUGAAAGGAACUUCGAGCUCCUCAGAAAACAACCAAAAACUCCCAUUAGUUUCAAGUACUAUAUCAAGUGACUGGAAGGCACUUCUUAACAUAGAGUAUUAUAAUAUUUCGUAACAUAAUACAAUGUGAUUUAAUAUAUGCAGCAUUACAACUAAAAACACCUUUAAAAGGACCAGGAAAAUGUUUUGAUGAAAGAUUUGAAAGAUUACCCUUAGUUUUAAAGAACAAAAAGAAACUAAGAUGUAUUAGAAAAUCAGUAAUAAAUACUUCCAUUAACAUGACCUAGAUGUAAAAUACUAUUGUGAAAAAUCAAGUAGCAAAAACUAUGAGAGUCAAUUACAAAUUUUCAAUACAU